GACGAACCGUGCGAACGUUAUUCGGAAUCACUGGGCUUAAAGGGCGCGUAGGCGGCUUUCCAAGCCCGGGGUGAAAUCUUUCGGCUUAACCGGAAAAGGGCCUCGGGGACUGGGAAGCUUGAGGGGGGCAGGGGCAAGCGGAACUUCCGGUGGAGCGGUGAAAUGCGUUGAUAUCGGAAGGAACGCCGGCGGCGAAAGCGGCUUGCUGGACCCCAUCUGACGCUGAGGCGCGAAAGCCAGGGGAGCGAACGGG
rnacentral:rRNA from 1 species